rnacentral:rRNA from 1 species
UGGGGAAUAUUGGACAAUGGGGGCAACCCUGAUCCAGCCAUGCCGCGUGCGUGAAGAAGGCCUUAGGGUUGUAAAGCGCUUUCAGCGGGGACGAUGAUGACGGUACCCGCAGAAGAAGCCCCGGCUAACUCCGUGCCAGCAGCCGCGGUAAUACGGAGGGGGCAAGCGUUGUUCGGAAUUACUGGGCGUAAAGGGCGCGUAGGCGGCACAUCAAGUCAGAGGUGAAAGCCCCGGGCUCAACCUGGGAUUUGCGUUUGAAACUGAUGAGCUAGAGUGCGGAAGAGGAUAGCGGAAUUCCCAGUGUAGAGGUGAAAUGCGUAGAGAUUGGAAAGAACACCAGUGGCGAAGGCGCUCUCCUGGACCGUAACUGACACUCAGGGACGAAAGCUAGGGGAGCGAAAGGGAUUAGAUACCCCGGUAGUCC